UACGUAGGGGGCAAGCGUUGUCCGGAAUUAUUGGGCGUAAAGAGCGUGUAGGCGGUCCGGUAAGUCGGCUGUGAAAUCCCGAGGCUCAACCCCGAGCCUGCAGUCGAUACGGGCAGACUAGAGUGCUGUAGGGGAGACUGGAAUUCCUGGUGUAGCGGUGAAAUGCGCAGAUAUCAGGAGGAACACCGGUGGCGAAGGCGGGUCUCUGGGCCGAAACUGACGCUGAGGAGCGAAAGCGUGGGGAGCAAACAGG
rnacentral:rRNA from 1 species